rnacentral:rRNA from 1 species
GAUGAACGCUGGCGGCGUGCCUAAUACAUGCAAGUCGAGCGAACAGAUGAGGAGCUUGCUCCUCUGACGUUAGCGGCGGACGGGUGAGUAACACGUGGAUAACCUACCUAUAAGACUGGGAUAACUUCGAGAAACCGGAGCUAAUACCGGAUAAUAUAUUGAACCGCAUGGUUCAAUAGUUAAAGACGGUUUUGCUGUCACUUAUAGAUGGAUCCGCGCCGCAUUAGUUAGUUGGUAAGGUAACGGCUUACCAAGGCAACGAUGCGUAGCCGACCUGAAAGGGUGAUCGGCCACACUGGAACUGAGACACGGUCCAGACUCCUACGGGAGGCAGCAGUAGGGAAUCUUACGCAAUGGGCGAAAGCCUGACGGAGCAACGCCGCGUGAGUGAUGAAGGUCUUCGGAUCGUAAAACUCUGUUAUUAGGGAAGAACAAAUGUGUAAGUAACUAUGCACGUCUUGACGGUACCUAAAGAAAAAGCCACGGCUAACUACGUG